AUAAAGAAUGAGUUUGGGAGAAAAAAUAUGGUUGAAAUUAUUUCUUUAAUCCUACCCCCCAAAUCUCUCUCUCAAAAUCUUUAAAAGAAAAGAGAUAACCCUAGGUCUCCCUCUCUCAAAAUCAGAACAUUCAAAUUUGUCCCUUCUUCCUUAAUUUCUCCAUCUCGUCCAAAUUUCGUUCACGUCAUUUGUAUCUCAAGCAGCUUCAGAAAUAGAAGUAUAAAAUGUCAACAACAAAGAAUUCUUCAAAUUAUUCGGAUUGGACAACUUAUGUGCCGCAUACAUUGGACAUAAAGCUACGAUAUUUUACCAUCCAUACCUCUAUUGUGAGUAUUGCAGCAUCUUAUUGUUGAGUGUUUUCGAGAUUACUAACAAGAGUACAUGUUGGCCUAGUAGUUUAGGAAUUCAAAAUUCACCUUGAGGCUUAUGGACCACUUGUUAGAAUGAUGAAUAUCAUCAAAUUAUUAUUUUCUUUUGUGAUUCACAUUAACAGGUUUGUCCUUUAUCAUGCGUUACUAUUCCUAUGCAGUAAUUAUGUAUAAGUUAGAUUAGUUGCUUUUUAAUUUUCUUAUUAUGUGAAUUUUGUUCAAAUGCUUUGAACGUUUUGCUACAUAGCAAACAUGUAUGUCAUGCUCGACUUUGUAUUUCUAUUUAAA